UUUUACCGGCUCCGUCUCCUUAAUGAUAAGUGUCCUCAAAAAUUAGGAGAGAGGAAGCCAAUGGGGAAGUGUCAGUUCUUGUUGGGUGUUAGUGCCCAGAAGGGGCACUAGUGAAGGUCUGAAUUCUGUUGCUUCCCGGUUGUUUUUUGAGGGAGACAGUGCACUAUCUGGUUGCUUCCCUGCUUCAAACCAAGUUGAGCCUGAAGAAAGAAAGAAAAGACCUCAAACUUUCUCACCCUGGAAUGCACACAUUGCUAUGAGGGAAAUGAGUUACUGA
rnacentral:lncRNA from 1 species